CUUACCACUUUGUGAUUCAUGACUGGGGUGAAGUCGUAACAAGGUAACCGUAGGGGAACCUGCGGUUGGAUCACCUCCUUA
rnacentral:ncRNA from 12 species